rnacentral:rRNA from 1 species
GUGGGGAAUCUUCCGCAAUGGACGAAAGUCUGACGGAGCAACGCCGCGUGAGUGAUGAAGGUCUUCGGAUUGUAAAGCUCUGUUAAUCGGGACGAAAGAGCCUAGUGUGAAUAAUGCUAGGAAGUGACGGUACCGGAAUAGAAAGCCACGGCUAACUACGUGCCAGCAGCCGCGGUAAUACGUAGGUGGCAAGCGUUGUCCGGAAUUAUUGGGCGUAAAGCGCGCGCAGGCGGAUCUGCCAGUCUGUCUUAAAAGUUCGGGGCUUAACCCCGUGAUGGGAUGGAAACUACAGAUCUAGAGUAUCGGAGAGGAAAGUGGAUUUCCUAGUGUAGCGGUGAAAUGCGUAGAUAUUAGGAAGAACACCAGUGGCGAAGGCGACUUUCUGGACGAAAACUGACGCUGAGGCGCGAAAGUCAGGGGAGCGAACGGGAUUAGAAACCCGAGUAGUCC